rnacentral:lncRNA from 1 species
GUGUGUGUGUGUAUGUGUCUUUGUGUGUGUGCGUCUGUGUGGGUGUGUGUGUCUUUGUGUGUGUUUCUGCGUGUCUGUUUGUGUGUGUGUAGGGGUGUAUAUCUGUGUGUGCGAGUGUAUGUGUGUGUAUGUGUGUCUGUUUGAACGUGUGUCUAGUGUGUGCGUCUGUAUGUGUGUUUGUGUAUGUGUAUGUGUGUGUCUUUGUGUGUGUGUGUUUGUGUUUGUGUGUGUGAGUGUGGGUGUGGGUGUAUAUGUGUGUGUGUGGGUGUGUGUGUGGGUGUGUGUGUGUGUGCAUGUGUAUCUUUGUGUAUGUGUAUGUGUGUCUGUGCGUGUGUGUGUGUCUUUGUGUGUGUUUGUGUGUCUGUGUAUGUGUGUGUUUGUGUGUGGGUGUAUGUGUGUGUCUGUGUGUGUGUUGGUGGGUCUGUGUGUCUGUGUAUGUGUGUGUGU